UACGUAGGUGGCGAGCGUUGUCCGGAAUUACUGGGUGUAAAGGGCGUGUAGGCGGGAAAGCAAGUCAGAUGUGAAAUUCCGGGGCUCAACUCCGGCGCUGCAUCUGAAACUGUUUUUCUUGAGUGCUGGAGAGGAUAGUGGAAUUCCUAGUGUAGCGGUGAAAUGCGUAGAUAUUAGGAGGAACACCAGUGGCGAAGGCGGCUAUCUGGACAGUAACUGACGCUGAGGCGCGAAAGCGUGGGGAGCGAACAGGAUUAGAUACCCUGGUAGUCCACGCUGUAAACGAUGGAUACUAGGUGUAGGAGGUAUCGACCCCUUCUGUGCCGGAGUUAACACAAUAAGUAUCCCACCUGGGGAGUACGGCCGCAAGGUUGAA
rnacentral:rRNA from 1 species